rnacentral:tmRNA from 1 species
GGGGGCGAAACGGAUUCGACGGGGAUAUGUAAGCUCUACGUUGCAUGCCGAGCUUCUGUCUGCUCGUAAAACUGAUAGAACUUUAAUUAUAAUCGCCGACGAUUAUAACUACGCAGUAGCAGCUUAGUCUGCUCUGCCGUUCCCCCGGUCUCUGCCCGCAAGACCGGA